UACGAGAGUUUUGAACUCAAGUGGCGGACGGGUGAGUAACACGUAAGAAUUUGCCUCUAGGAGGGGGAUAACAACUGGAAACGGUUGCUAAUACCCCAUAUGCUUUCGAGUGAAAUGGAUUUCCGCCUAGAGAGAAGCUUGCGGCUGAUUAGCUUGUUGGUAAGGUAAUGGCUUACCAAGGCGACGAUCAGUAUCUGGUUUGAGAGGACGAUCAGACACACUGGAACUGAGACACGGUCCAGACUCCUACGGGAGGCAGCAGUGGGGAAUUUUCCGCAAUGGGCGAAAGCCUGACGGAGCAAUACCGCGUGAGGGAGGAAGGUCUAACAGAUUGUAAACCUCUUUUCUCAAGGAAGAUAAUGACGGUACUUGAGGAAUAAGCAUCGGCUAACUCCGUGCCAGCAGCCGCGGUAAUACGGAGGAUGCAAGUGUUAUCCGGAAUCACUGGGCGUAAAGCGUCUGUAGGUGGUUUAAUAAGUCAACUGUUAAAUCUUGAAGCUCAACUUCAAAAUCGCAGUCGAAACUAUUAGACUAGAGUAUAGUAGGGGUAAAGGGAAUUUCCAGUGGAGCGGUGAAAUGCGUAGAUAUUGGAAAGAACACCGAUAGCGAAAGCACUUUACUGGGCUAUUACUGACACUCAGAGACGAAAGCUAGGGUAGCAAAUGGGAUUAGAUACCCUGGUAGUCCCCU
rnacentral:rRNA from 1 species